rnacentral:rRNA from 1 species
AUGCGUGGAGCAGGAGGGGUGGCUAUGGUGCUCGCAUCGGGCUCCGGCAGCGGCGGCGGGGGGAGCGACUUCUCCGUUAUGGUGAUAGGCUCCGACUUUGCGGUGGACGCUGGCGCGGCGCUCCUCGCCUCCCCUGUCGACCGCAAGGAGUGGCACGACUGCGUCCACAACCUCAGCAACGACUUCUCCGACCUCGAGGAGCUCCAGGUGGUCCGCGUGCAGGGCGUGGACAGAUCCGACCGGCCCGUCGUCCAUGUCGUCGGCAAGUUCUUCCCUGGUGUCGUGCUGGCGACCGGGUUCGGAGCACUUGGAUCGAAGGUGGCUGAGCACUGGUACGAGGUCUACAAGGUGGACAAGCAGGGGGCCAACCUCUGGUUCAUCUACUUGUGGGAGGACAAGGUCCAUGACAUCUCGCUGAACCACUACACCUGGCUUGCUCGCCGGCGCGCGUGUGUGUGCUUCGAUGCGCGACGCUUCGUCGAGCUGGCCGGACCGCGGCAAUCCCCGGAGCUGGAGCGGGAGGAGGCAACGAGAUGCUGUUGCUGCGGUUGUGUCCUCGGAGGCAGCAGCUGCCCCUCGCCGACCUUACCAACCUUCGGCGUCCGCCAUGAGCUCCGCACAUGA